rnacentral:rRNA from 1 species
GAUGAACGCUGGCGGCGUGCCUAAUACAUGCAAGUCGAGCGAACGGACGAGAAGCUUGCUUCUCUGAUGUUAGCGGCGGACGGGUGAGUAACACGUGGAUAACCUACCUAUAAGACUGGGAUAACUUCGGGAAACCGUAGCUAAUACCGGAUAAUCUUUUGAACCGCAUGGUUCAAAAGUGAAAGACGGUCUUGCUGUCACUUAUAGAUGGAUCCGCGCUGCAUUAGCUAGUUGGUAAGGUAACGGCUUACCAAGGCAACGAUGCAUAGCCGACCUGAGAGGGUGAACGGCCACACUGGAACUGAGACACGGUCCAGACUCCUACGGGAGGCAGCAGUAGGGAAUCUUCCGCAAUGGGCGAAAGCCUGACGGAGCAACGCCGCGUGAGUGAUGAAGGUCUUCGGAUCGUAAAACUCUGUUAUUAGGGAAGAACAUAUGUGUAAGUAACUGUGCACAUCUUGACGGUACCUAAUCAGAAAGCCACGGCUAACUACGUG